UCUAUUUUAAAUUUUUAUUUAAUAAUUACUUUAUAUUGACAGAAUCCAUGCCAGGGUAAUUUUUUUACAACAUUAUCCCUUGCACUCAUUUCUGUUCCAAUUUUUCCCCUCCCUCCCUCUACCCCCUCCCCUAGAUGGCAAGCAGUCCUAUAUAUGUUGGAUAUGUUGCAGUAUCCUAGAUACAAUAUAUGUUUGCAGAACCGAACAGUUCUCUUGUUGCACAGGGAGAAUUGGAUUCAGAAGGUGUAAAUAACCCGGGAAGAAAAACAAAAAUGUAGAUAGUUCACAUUCGUUUCCCAGUGUUCUUUCUUUGGGUGUAGCUGCUUUUGUCCGUCAUUUAUCAAUUGAAACUCAGGUCUCUUUGUCAAAGAAAUCCACUUCCAUCAAAAUAUGUCCUCAUACAAUAUCAUUGUUGAAGUGUAUAAUGAUCUCCUAGUUCUGCUCAUUUCACUUAGCAUCAGUUCAUGUAAGUCUCGCCAGUCCUCUCUGUAUUCAUCCUGCUGGUCAUUUCUUACAGAACAAUAAUAUUCCAUAACAUUCAUAUACCACAAUUUACCCAGCCAUUCUCCAAUUGAUGGGCAUCCAUUCAUUUUCCAGUUUCUAGCCACUACAAAUAGGGCUGCUACAAACAUUUUGGCACAUACAGGUCCUUUCCCUUCUUUAGUAUUUCUUUGGGAUAUAAGCCCAAUAGAAACACUGCUGAGUCAAAGGGUAUGCACAAUUUGAUAACUUUUUGGGCAUAAUUCCAGAUUGCUCUCCAGAAUGGUUGGAUUCGUUCACAACUCCACCAACAAUGCAUUAGUGUCCCAGUUUUCCCGCAUCUCCUCCAACAUUCAUCAUUAUUUUUUCCUGUCAUCUUAGCCAAUCUGACAGGUGUGUACUGGUAUCUCAGAGUUGUCUUAAUUUAAUGCAAAUUAAACUUAAAACUAUUUUGUGCAUUUUUAUUUUGUUGUUUCUGACACGAAUUCCACUUGGAGUUUUUCUUGACAGAAAUAAUAAAGUUGUUUGCCAUUUCUUUCUCUAGCUCAUUUGGUAAGUGUUUGAGGCUAGAUUUGAAAUCAGGAAGAAUAGUCUUUCUGAUUUUAGGCCCAGCACUCCAUCCACUGUGCCACCCAGCUGUCUUUUUGUGUAUCCUUUUAUUUAUUUAUCUAUUCAUUCAUUCAUUCAUUCACUGAUUUAUUUAACUAUCUAUCUUUAUUCAUUCAUUCAUUCAUUUAUUCAUCCAUCCAUCCAUCCACUCAUUCUUCCCUCCAUCCAUCCAUUUAUUUAUUUAUUUUUGGAAAGUCAAUUAUUAAAUGUUUACCAAUACACACACUCCUUGAAUCUUCUUGAGUCUCCCUCCUUGAAUCUCUCUUGUUAAAUUAUUUGAUGUUUCAUAUACAUUCAAUCAUGUUCUAAAUCUCUAAUUGAAAACUUUUAAUUUCCUAAUUUAAUUUUCUAUUUUUGAUUAAAGGUAUUUGUAUGUGUUUCAUCCCCUUGACUAGAUUUUAAAUUCUUUGAGGACAGGGACUGGGUUGUUUUUUCACCUGUGUUUUAUUGGCCUCUAAGUCAUGAAAAUAUGGUAUAGAGGAAAGAGCACUGAUUUUAGAAUAUGAAGACCUGGAUUCAGAUCUAGUUUCUUUUGCUUAACACCCAUGUGAUUCUGGGGUCAAAAUCAUUUACCUUUUCUAUACCUCAAUUUCCUCACCUAUAAAAUAAGGAUCUUAGAUUCAAUGGCCUCUGAGAUCUCUUUCAGCUCCAGAUCUAUGAUUCUGUGACCAUAAUAGAUGCUUAAUAUUGAUAGAAAUAAGUUGAGCUGUGAUUUUGAUGGGGAAGGUGAUAAAAGACAAAAAAGUCAGUAACUUGCAGGUCCAAAGGCCUCAUAUACUUGUGUGUACACAUACGUUCACAGGUGACAGUCCUUCUCUAUUCCAAUUACUGAUCUUCCUGGCUAUUUUUGUCACAGUUAAAAAUCCCAAGUCCUAUAGGAAGAGUUCCCCAGCCCCUCUUAAUUCCAUUGUCUUCCUUCUGUUAAUUAUUUCCUAUUUGUCCUGUAUGAUUUAUUGGUUUGUCAUUUUUAGUCACGUUAAACUCUUUGGGGUUUUCUUGGCAAACAUAUUGAAGUGGUUUGCCAUAUUAUUUUUACAAAUGAGGCAAACAGGGUUAAGUGGCUUGUGUAUGGUCACCUAACUAUUGAAUGUCUGAGGUUAGAUUUGAGCUUAGAAAGAUAAAUCUAUCUGACUUCAGGCCCAGCUUUUCACCCACCAUAUCACCUCCAUGUAUAGUUUUAUUGAUAUAUAUUUGUUAGCAUGUUGCUGUUUCCCAUUAAAAUAUAAGUUCCUUGGAGUGGAGGAAUAUAUUUGCCUUUUUUUUUUUUUUUGUAUUCCUAGUGCUUGGCAUAGUGUCAAGCUCUUAAUAGGCACUUAAUAAAUAUUGAAUUGAAAUGUAAAUAUUUACAUGUAGAUCUGUCUGUGCCUUUUUACAUAAUAUAGAUUUCUGUCCCAUCAUCAUAUAUAUAGACUAUUACCAUACAUAUAUUUAUGUAUUUCAAUAUUCAGUCCUAAUUGGGGACUAUAUAUAUCUUAAUAUCAUAGCCCUAUUCAGUAUCUGUUUCUGGUGGGAAAAAUAAAAUAGAUUGAAAAAUCCUUAUUGUCUCUGGAGCAGAUGAAUCUGCUUUGCUGGACCUUGCUUUCUAUAUGUAUAAAUGGUAUAUUGCAUUGGUGAUUUCUGGUAACCCCUUUCCAGCUCUGACAUAUUGAACUCAAAAGCUGCAAUUCUCUCCAUCUUUCUCAAUCUAGGAAACAAGAUGACUAAUCAAGGAGACGUGAGCAGAGAAAGGACCAUCUGGACUACACCACAUUCUGUCCUAAAUGUGAUCCCUUUUUACAUCUGGACAUUAUGAAAAUAUCUCUCAAAGUAUUAUAUUUCACACGUGGGGCCAACAACAGGUCUCCUUGAGCUGUUUAUGCUAAAUAUGGAAAAGAAAAAUAUUAGAUCCUCUCACUUGCCAUUUCCUGACACUUUGAGGAGAAAGAUGUGUUUGGAUUGUGUUGGUUGUGAAAUAAGAUGAUGGGAUAUUAAGAUUUCAAAAGUUUAGGGGCAGGGAGAAAGAAUCCCUAUAUUGCACAAUUGUUUGUUAUUGCUCCCCCUCCUCUGGGUGGAAAUUCAAUCUGUAGCUUUUCAGCUUUGGUUGGAUAAAGAUGUAUUUGAUAAUGUAAUAAAUACAGAGUUAGAGUUGCCAAUUUGGGCGACUGAAUUUAGUAAUGGAAGUUGGAAGCCUUUGUAUCCCACAGCUGCUAUCUGGGAUAGACGGCCAGGAUCACAGAAAGGAUCUUUGAAAUUAUCUAGUCCAACUUCUUCAUUUUCAGAUGAAGAAAGUGAUACUUUCAGAGGGAAGUAGCCAAGAACAAGGAGAGCUCCAGAGGAGGAUGCUUCUGAACUGGAGGCCUAUUGCUCUGCAUGAGGAUACCUUCCCUCCAUAUUGACUGGAUCCAAGGAAUGGUUAAAGUUUAUAGAAUCUGAGACAUAUGAGACUAGAAAGACUCCUGAGAGAUUGACUACUUCUCCCUCCCUCCGAGCCCUCCAUCUCUAUGCAGCAAUGCAGACUCAAGAAGAAUUGGCUGACCUAUUCUUUAAAAAAAAAAAUUCCAGGACUGCCUGGAAAAAUACCAGAUGUCCCAAAAGUCUCAGUGCAAUUAUGAAGCUUAAAACAGCACUGAGACUUUUGGGACACCCUGUGUCAUUUUACAUCCUGAAUCUAUUACUUCUCUAUCACCAGCAUAUUUCAGCAUAACUUCUCUGAACUUAGGUCAUUGCUUUGGGUCUGAAGUAUUCUUCAGAUAAAAACAUAAUUAUUUGGCUCUUUCAAUAUAAAAAAAAAUUAAGUUUCUGAAGGAGCAUUUGCCUUGUAGCAGAUGUGGAAGCAUUCCUUUUCCAAGGAGGGAGGGAAAUCUAUUCAUUCUCUCUUUCACACCUUUGACCAUGUCAUUUGUCUAAUGAACUGUUCUGCUCAUGUUAUUCCUCAUCUUACGGUAUCUAUUUGCCUCAAAAUAUUUCACAGGUUCACAGUCCACCAAAUAAAGUAUAUCUUUCUGAUCCUGGCAUUCCAGGCCUUCCACAAUCUGAUUUUCCUUUCCCAUUCUCAUUUCUCAUUUUAAGAUUCAAUUUAGGUGUCACCUCCUACCUGAAGCCUUCCCAGACUCCACCAAGUGAAAAUUGUUUCUCAUUCUUUUAAUUUUGCAUCAUCCUUUCUAUAGACUUCUCUUCCACACUUAUUUUUGUCUCCAUUAUAUCAGUGCUAUAUGUAAACAUAUAUUUCUUUUCUUUCUUUCUCCCCCCCCCCCUGCUCCCAAUCAUAUUUGCACAGCUAGAAAAUACUGGAGGCAGAAUUUGAAUUUAGGAAGAUGAGUCUUCCUGAUUCCAGGUCCUGCCCUCUAUCUGAAGUGCCCAGGCGAGAGAAAAACAGGGCAGCCAAAAUAAUGAAGUUUUAAGAGCGUUUAUUGCUAGCUAGUGACUGAACCCCAACACCAACACUGGAGGGGUCAGUAAUGAGUGGCCUCAGGGCCAUAUAUUUAUAGAAAGAAGAGAGACACAUCAAAAUGUUUCUUGAUACAUUUGUCAUAAUAAAGGAAUUUCUAUUCUAAACAGGAGGCAAAAAGUUAUCACUCUAAGGGGGUCAUUCUCAGGCAACAGCAAGCAGCAUUUCUUUAAGCUUAUCAGGUUGUCAAGAUCUCAAGACUCUCAGGACAGUACAUUUGGGUUGUUAAAAAGAACUAGUAUAAACUUCUAACUACAAAGAUUUAGGAUUAUGUGCUUUUCCACUUCAUAUCCACUGUGCAAUCUAGAUGCCCAUUUCUACUAAUUAAUAAAUACUUAUUGAAUUGAAGUGAACUUAGAAGUGACUUGGAUCGUUGUAUUCUCUAGCCUGGUUGAACAGGUGAUCUCAUCUUGCUGGAUUCUCUUUUCCUAUUGCUUCCCAUUUCUUUUCCCUCUUUUGACUCAUUAACCAAAGCUAGAAAGCAUUAACAUCUAAGACUCAUUAGCCAGCAUUGACUGGUUUAUCUCAGGAGACCCUGCCUCCCAUGCCUGAUUUUUUUCUGGGUACUUACAGCCCAUAUAAAAUAGACAUUAGACAUUUCCCCUUGACUAUUUAUAACAGUGUGAAAAACAUCAUCGGGAUGGAAUAUGCUAAUGCUUCGUGCCCAGCAUGAUAAAAAUCUACCGUGCUGUGUAGGAAAAUGAAGUGCUUCCGACAGAGCAGGACUGCCCUUCCCAGACUCCCAGAGCAUGAGGGAAGGAGGGCUCAGAGAAUCAUAGUAUGGAAAGUAUGACAGAAGUCAUCUACUCCUCCUUUUAUAGAUGAAGAAACUGAGCUUUGAAGAUUAUAGAUUAUAGUUAUAGAUAGGAAGUGACAGAGCUAGGAUUCUAGUCUAGGUCCUCUGAUUACAAAUCUCAGAUUCUUUAAACUGAUCCUGCCUCUAGCCAAGAAAGCCCUUUGCCCUCAUUAGAAAAACAGUAUCUGUUCAUUUCUCAAAAGUCUCCAGAAAAGGAAAUUCCAAAACCUCUCUUGAUUACAUAGUCUAGUCUUUUAAAAUUUCUUGCAACUAUUGAUUGCACACUUAUAAUCUAUAUAAAAUUGCCUUCUCAAAGAGUGAGGAGGAGAAGCCAGAAAGGAGAAAAUUUGGAUCUCAAAAUUAAAAAAAAAUAACAAGUUUUAAAUAAUUAUUUUAAAAAUAAAAGAUUAAAAAUUAAGAAAAUGUUGUCCACUUGGUAUAUUCAGUUUCUCUGUAUUUAACCUAAAUCUUUACUGCUGUAUAUUUAUAUAAUGCUUUUACUUAUAUGUGCUGCCCCAGUGUUUCCUUUCUUCUUUUAAUAGCUCAGUGAAAUAGGUAUUUAACAUGUAAUUAGUCUUAUUUUGCAGAUAAAGAAAUCAACAAAGGGAAGUGAGUGAUUUUACCAAUUUACACAGCCAGGAAAUUGGGAGAGCUGGGACCCAAAUCCGGGGCCACAUACAGACACAGACACAUACACCCACACUGGUCUGGAUCAAAAACUCUCUGUAACUCAGUUUUAAAUAGUCCUUCUUUACCUUGGUACCUUCCAUCUUUAGAUUACCUUUAAUCUCCCCUAUGUACAUAGCUCAUUUGCAUGUUGUCUCCCUCCAGGGACUGGUUUUUUUGGGUGUUUUGGGGGGUUCUUUUUUAUUUCAAAAUACAGUCCUUGACAUGCAGUGGUGCUAAUAAAUGCUAGAUGGCUUACAAAGGAUAAUGAGAAAUUGAGUGACUAGUCUGUGAUUUGUCAUUCAAUUAUAUUUGUGAGCCCCUCUGGGGUUUUCUUAGCAAAGAUAUUUGAGUGGUUUGCUAUUUCCUUCUCCGGAUUAUUUUACAGGUGAAGACACUGAGUGCCUUUCCCAGAGUCACACAGCGAAGUUUUAUUACAUGUUAAAAAGAAUUUAACUCCUGAGUAAGAUGGGAUUUCAUUGUGGUAAAAGAGCACAGAACAGGGAAUCCAGCCAGAAACUUCAAUCAAUCAAUCAAUUAUGAGCUUCAUCACUCCAAUAUAUCAGACAAGAACCUCUCAGAGCCUUGCUGCCAGCCAUCUAUUAGGGGUGGGAAGUCUGUGAAUGUAGCAGAACUGUGGCUUUGUUCUGGCAAGCCAAGAUUGCUGCUCUCUGUGGUUCCAGAAAGAUGAAAUUUCUUUUCUUUCUCAGUCCUUUUUUUAUCUCAGAAUUUCACAGCCCUAUAGUAUAACCACAAACAGACAAAGGGAAAGAAAUCCUGAAGCCUUUCAAAAGAAUGGGGGGAUAGCUAAUGUGAAUCCAUUGUCAUUCAGGAGUAAACAGGGAUCUGGUGGGGGAAUGACAUUUAUAUAACUUUUGGGUUUGCAAAGUACUUUAAAUUUAUUUAAUUCUCAUAACACCUCAUGAAUUAAAUAUCAGAGCUAUUAAAAUUUUCAUUUUACAGAUAAGUAAACUGAGAAUCAGGGAAGUUGAGGCGUAUAUGAGAUCAGUUAAUAAAUGUCCAAAGUGGCAUUUGAAUUCAGAUCCUCUGGCUCCAAAGUCAAUGAUUUUUACUCUUUAUGUUGUUGAUAUUCAGUUGUGUUUGACACUUUUUGUGAUGCUGGUUUAUGUACUAUUCGCAGGGUUUUCUUAUCAAAGAUUCUGAUGUUUUGCCAUUUCCUUUUCUAGUGGAUUGUAAAGCAAAUAGAGAUUAAGUGAUUUGUCCAGGACAUGGCUAGUUCAAUUUUGAACUCAUCUCUUCCUGUCUCCAAAUCUAUCACUCUGUGCACUGAGUCACUUAGCUUCCUCUUUUCCCUGUACAGCUGAUCCUUUUCAUGAAUAAACAAGCGUGUUGUAGUAGAAUGAACACUGACCCUAGAGUUGGAGAAAAGGCACUUAAUCUUUCUAACUCCAAGUUCCUCGUUUUUGAAAUAAGGGGACUGGAAUACAUGACUUCUAAGAUACCUUUCACCUUUAAAUCUAUGAGCCACGAGCUUCCUCCCUGGAAAGCACUGUAAAAUUAAUACAAAUUUUAUUAGCAUCUCAAAUAGUGGAAUCUCUUUGGGAAAAGACAGGCUGGUAAAUCGUGGUUCUCUGUCUGCAAGGUUGGGUUAAGGUGAUAUAACUGAGACCUUGGAGUAAGUCUGUGACAUGCUGGAUUAGAAGCCAAAUUCCAUGUUUGUGGCAGCCCUGUUUGUAGUGGCUAGAAGCUGAAAAAUGAAAGGAUGCCCAUCAAUUGGAGAAUAGUUGAGUAAAUUGUGGUAUACGAAUGUUAUGGAAUAUUAUUGUUCUGUAAGAAAUGACCAGCAGGAUGAAUACAGAGAGGACUGGCGAUACUUACACGAACUGAUGCUAAGUGAAGUGAGCAGAACCAGGAGAUCAUUAUAUACCUCAACAACGAUACUGUUUGAGGAUGUAUUCUGAUGGAAGUGGAUCUCUUUGAUAAAGAGAGCUAAUUUAGUUUCAAUUGAUCAAGGAUGGACAGAAGCAGCUACAACCAAAGAAAGAACACUGGGAAAUGAAUAUAAACUGCUUGCAUUUUUGUUUUUCUUUCCGGGUUAUUUAUACCUUCUGAAUCCAAUUCUCCCUGUGCAACAAGAGAACUGUUCGUUUCAGCGCACAUAUAUUGUACCUGGGAUAUACUGUAACCUAUUUAACAUGUAAAGGACUGCUUGCCAUCUCGGGGAAGGGGUGGAGGGAGAGAGGGGAAAAAUCAGAACAGAAAUGAGUGCAAGGGAUAAUGCUGUAAAAAAUGACCCUGGCAUGGGUUCUGUCAAUAAAAAGUUAUUUAAAAAAAAAAAAAAGAAGAA